CCGCAUGUUUCGGCCCUGGGCCGGUGUUGACUUCUCCAUUUCUGUAGAGAAGUCAAGUAGAAACAUGCUAGAGUAACACUUCUGGAGUUAACAGGGCCACCAGUCUUUCAAGGUCAGACUGAGUAGGUAGUAUAAUACUCCAACAUUC